rnacentral:rRNA from 1 species
UACAGAGGUGGCAAGCGUUGUUCGGAAUUACUGGGCGUAAAGGGCGCGUAGGCGGCCAUCUAAGUCAGACGUGAAAUCCCCCGGCUUAACCUGGGAACUGCGUCUGAUACUGGAAGGCUUGAGUAUGGGAGAGGGAUGUAGAAUUCCAGGUGUAGCGGUGAAAUGCGUAGAUAUCUGGAGGAAUACCGGUGGCGAAGGCGGCAUCCUGGACCGGCAUUGACGCUGAAGCGCGAAAGCCAGGGGAGCAAACGGG